AUUGAACGCUGACGGCAUGCUUUACACAUGCAAGUCGAACGGUAACAGGGUGCUUGCACCGCUGACGAGUGGCGAACGGGUGAGUAAUGCGUCGGAACGUGCCGAGUAGUGGGGGAUAACGCAUCGAAAGGUGUGCUAAUACCGCAUACGUACUGAGGUAGAAAGUGGGGGACCUUCGGGCCUCACGCUAUUCGAGCGGCCGACGUCUGAUUAGCUAGUUGGUGAGGUAAAGGCUCACCAAGGCGACGAUCAGUAGCGGGUCUGAGAGGAUGAUCAGCCACACUGGGACUGAGACACGGCCCAGACUCCUACGGGAGGCAGCAGUGGGGAAUUUUGGACAAUGGGCGCAAGCCUGAUCCAGCCAUGCCGCGUGUCUGAAGAAGGCCUUCGGGUUGUAAAGGACUUUUGUCCGGGAGCAAAUGCCUGGUGUUAAUAGCACUGGGAGCUGAGAGUACCGGAAGAAUGAGCACCGGCUAACUACGUGCCAGCCGCCGCAGUAAGAC
rnacentral:rRNA from 1 species